GAUGAAGAACGUAGCGAAAUGCGAUAAGUAAUGUGAAUUGCAGAAUUCAGUGAAUCAUCGAAUCUUUGAACGCACAUUGCGCCCCUUGGUAUUCCGAGGGGCAUGCCUGUUCGAGCGUCAUUAUAACCCCUCAAGCUCAGCUUGGUGUUGGGGCCUGCUGCACUGGCAGCCCUUAAAAUCAGUGGCGGCGCCAUCUGGCUCUAAGCGUAGUAAUUCUUCUCGCUAUGGAGUCCUGGUGAAUGCUUGCAAUCAACCCCCAAUUUUUCUAUGGUUGACCUCGGAUCAGGUAGGGAUACCCGCUGAACUUAAGCAUAUCAAUAAGCGGAGGA
rnacentral:misc_RNA from 1 species